UAAAGGGUACCACACAGCCCAGUGGAUACAACCAGAGUGAUAGAUAUAACAGAGUGGCGACACUUCAAUUGGACUCCGUUGUAGCGUUUUUUUGCCGCCUACUUCCGGGGUAUGGAGCCUCGCAUAGUUCCUAAACAUCCAUUUACGGCGUAGGAGAUCAUUCAUUUCCAUUGCUGACCGUCGAGUAACUUCUAAGGUCGUGGCUGCUGCGGCUGAUGGUGUAUGCGGCUGGUGGUGUAUGCGGCUGAUGGUGGAUGCUGCUGAUGGCGGUGGCUGCUGUUGCUGGUGGCUUGAGCUGGCUGGGGCCGGCAAACACUGCUGCUGCAGGGCGCUACUGCUUGAGGCGAUGGCUGCUUGAGCUGGCUGGUGGUGGCGAAGGAUGUCGACUUCUGAAGGAUGUCGCCUUUUGCUGCUAGUGGUGGCGGCUUGUGCUGGCGACGGCUGUUGGUGGUGGCGACUGCUGGUGGCUGGUGGUAGCGGCGGCGGCGGCGACUGCUGCGAUUGUUGUCCUUCCUUUCGACCUGAUGCACUUUACUAUCCUUAACCUCAGCCUGAUGUAUGUGUAUUUUCUUUGUUUAUUAAUAACUUAUAAUAUUCCUCCCUGUUCCUUCACUUUGUUCUUGUUUUACAAGUUAGAUAUACACGCACACCUGUUUAUACAUUUGUUGUUCCUGUUCCACACAUGACUAACAUUGUUUUAUUUAUUGAUGCCCCCUGGCUCUACUUUGCUGUUCUUGUUCACUUACUGUAUGUUUGCUUCGUUGUUCUUAGUCCUUGUUCCCACUUGUUUUUGGUUCCACAAACCUCAGCCUGAUGUAUGUGGAGAGGAUUUUUUUCUAAACACUCAGCAUCUCAAACACUGGGUCCAGCUUUGCAUGGUGCAUUUUCCUUUGCAGUGUGUAGAUGUUAGGCAGUGGAAUCUGCAUUUGCUGGAGGGUAUUAGAUUUUAGGGUGCCAGCAUGGAACAGGCAAGUUUGCCUGUUUGCCUGGCAAGUUCGCUCCUUCAUGCAUACGUCAUCACUUCGUAAUACGAUAAAUACUUCAUCCCCAAGCGUUGUGUCCAGCUGCGACUGAAUGCUAUCGUCGGC